GAUGAACGCUAGCGGCAGGCCUAAUACAUGCAAGUCGAACGGGAUUGGGGAGCUUGCUCCUCAUGAGAGUGGCGAACGGGUGCGUAACGCGUAUGCAACCUACCUUCAUUAGGGGGAUAGCCCGGAGAAAUUCGGAUUAACACCGCAUAAAAACACAGUACGGCAUCGUACAAUGUUCAAAUAUUCAUAGGAUGAGGAUGGGCAUGCGUGUCAUUAGCUAGUUGGUAAGGUAACGGCUUACCAAGGCGACGAUGACUAGGGGAUCUGAGAGGAUGACCCCCCACACUGGUACUGAGACACGGACCAGACUCCUACGGGAGGCAGCAGUAAGGAAUAUUGGUCAAUGGAGGCAACUCUGAACCAGCCAUGCCGCGUGCAGGAAGACGGCCCUAUGGGUUGUAAACUGCUUUUAUACGGGAAUAAACCUUGAUUCGUGAAUCGAGCUGAAUGUACCGUAAGAAUAAGGAUCGGCUAACUCCGUGCCAGCAGCCGCCGCAGUAA
rnacentral:rRNA from 1 species